rnacentral:rRNA from 3 species
UGGGGAAUAUUGGACAAUGGGCGAAAGCCUGAUCCAGCAAUGCCGCGUGAGUGAUGAAGGCCUUAGGGUUGUAAAGCUCUUUUACCAGGGAUGAUAAUGACAGUACCUGGAGAAUAAGCUCCGGCUAACUCCGUG